rnacentral:rRNA from 1 species
GACAGAGGAUGCAAGCGUUAUCCGGAAUGAUUGGGCGUAAAGCGUCUGUAGGUGGCUUUUCAAGUCCGCCGUCAAAUCCCAGGGCUCAACCCUGGACAGGCGGUGGAAACUACCAAGCUGGAGUACGGUAGGGGCAGAGGGAAUUCCGGUGGAGCGGUGAAAAUGCAUUGAGAUCGGAAAGGAACACCAACGGCGAAAGCACUCUGGCUGGGCCGACA